rnacentral:tmRNA from 1 species
GGGGGCGUAAAGGUUUCGACAGGGAUGGUAAGGCCCGGUAAGCGAGUAGCGGUGCGGAACCGCUAUAAAAUCCGCAACUUAAACAAUAAACGACAACAAUUCUGUUGCUCUCGCGGCCUAAUUAGGCUGCCGUCUUUACCCGCAGUACCGCGGGCGGGAUAAAGGCGUCGAUUAGCGGUGAACGUGAACGCUGUUUGGCCACUGGCGGCGUCAUGACGGGGUGGCUACCGUAACCAGCAGCCUGCCGACCGGCGGUUGGUGAGGGGAAUCUGAAAAGACCGGCUGCACUCGGAGAAAGCCGCGUUAAGCUGUUUUUGGACAGGGGUUCGAUUCCCCUCGCCUCCACCA